UGUUUUUUGUCAUUUUAUAAAGAAUAAGAUCUGCCCUAUGAUUCAUUAAAUGGCCGCAGUAUCUUGACUGUGCGAAGGUAGCAUAAUCAAUUGUCUUUUAAUUGGAGUCUGGAAUGAAUGAUUUAAUGAAAGAUAAUCUGUUUUUUAGGAAAAUUUGAAUUUUUAUGUUAGGUGAAGAUACUUAAAUGUAAAUAAAAGACGAGAAGACCCCAUAAAGUUUUAUAGGAAAUGUAUAUCUUAAGAAAAAUGACUUAUUUAUUACUAUUUGGUUGGGGCAAUUAUGAGACAGUAAAAAUUUUCUUUAAGGUAAAUAUUGAUGAAUAAAUUGAUUAAUGAUCCAAUUAUUUGAUUACAAGAAUAAAUUACUUUGGGGAUAACAGCGUAAUUUUCUUAUAGAGUUCUUAUCGAUGAGAAAGAUUGCGACCUCGAUGUUGGAUUAGGAUUUCUGUUUAGUGUAGCCGCUGAACAAGAUAGUCUGGUUCGACUAU
rnacentral:rRNA from 1 species